GGCUGGUCCAAUGGUAGUGGGUUAUCAGAACUUAUUAACAUUAGUGUCACUAAAGUUGGUAUACAAGCCCCCACUGCUAAAUUUGACUGGUUUUUA
rnacentral:Y_RNA from 2 species